CUCCCACAUUGCUUGACUGAGUUAGUUGCUUUUGAUGACCAUUUGAUGGAUGCAUCGCCCUCAUAGUUUUAGGGUGUUCAGGAUUCUGCUCAGUCAUGACAGUGCCAGAGAGGAAGCUGGAGUGACGUGUGCAAAUGCAUUCCACAAACUGUUUGUGCACACAAAGGAGGCAGGCUUUGAUGUUUACUGGCUGCAAAGAAAAACUGAGGGCCAUAUCUUGCAACAAAGGCAUG